AUAAUGCGUAAGGGAAAAUGUGUGCUAAUUCUUGGUUAAAGUGGGUAAGAUCAUUAUCCUAAAAUAUGUAGUUCCAGUAAGAGUGGGUUGGGCUGUAUCUGAAAGUAGGCAGAACACACAACCCUCCCAUGAACAAUGCCUACAGCUGAUCUUCUGAGAUCAUUAUGACGAAUGAUCUUGGACUCAUCUAGAUGAUUAGGGGUCCAGCAACAUGUGUGGGGCAAUUGCUGCUCUCAGCCAAUCAAAUGCUUUUCAUAGAGUAGCAAUGAAUAUAUUGCUGCU